rnacentral:rRNA from 1 species
GACGAACGCUGGAGGCGUGCUUAACACAUGCAAGUCGAACGAUGAAAUGGAGCUUGCUCCAUGGAUUAGUGGCGAACGGGUGAGGAACACGUGAAUAACCUGCCCUUAAUUUUGGAAUAACCCAGGGAAACCUGGGCUAAUACCGGAUAAGUAAACCUGUGGCAUCACAUGGUUUUGGAAAGUUUUUCGAUUAAGGAUGGAUUCGCGGCCUAUUAGCUUGUUGGUGAGGUAAUGGCUCACCAAGGCGACGACGGGUAGCCGGCCUGAGAGGGGGAACGGCCACACUGGGACUGAGACACGGCCCAGACUCCUACGGGAAGCAGCAGUGGGGAAUAUUACGCAAUGGACGAAAGUCUGACGCAGCGACGCCUCGUGAGGGACGAAGGUCUUCGGAUUGUAAACCUCUUUCAGCAGGGACGAAGCGAAAGUGACGGUACCUGCAGAAGAAGCACCGGCUAACUAUGUGCCAGCCGCCGCAGUAA